UACGGAGGGUGCAAGCGUUAUCCGGAUUCACUGGGUUUAAAGGGUGCGUAGGUGGGUUGAUAAGUCAGUGGUGAAAUCCCCGAGCUUAACUUGGGAACUGCCAUUGAUACUAUUGAUCUUGAAUACCGUGGAGGUCAGCGGAAUAUGUCAUGUAGCGGUGAAAUGCUUAGAUAUGACAUAGAACACCAAUUGCGAAGGCAGCUCGUUACACGAAGAUUGACUCUGAGGCACGAAAGCGUGGGGAUCAAACAGG
rnacentral:rRNA from 1 species